rnacentral:rRNA from 2 species
CUUUUGACCUCGGAUCAGGUAGGGAUACCCGCUGAACUUAAGCAUAUCA